AUCUCAUCACAACGUGGAAGAUUCAGAUUCAGAUUCAAUAAUCUGAUAUACUCACGACUCUAAGAAAUUGGACGGUAUAGAUGCUUAGAUUGGUUCACAACAACGCUGGAAAUGGUUGGACUGGACUGUGAAUCCAUUCUUCAAUUUUGUUUCUUCUUUUACUCUCUCUGCUUCUUCGAAGUCCAGGAUUUUUCCUUCAGUAAUCGAGAGAUAAGUUAGGGGUUUGUCUGCAAUCAAGGUUGAUCGUGAUUCUUUACCAGAGAUUGAAGAUUUCAUAGUGGUUUUGAUGGCGAGACGAAGAAGGCAUCAUCUUACAGAUGAAAGAUUUGGGAGGAAUUAGAUGGCUGAAGUUCUCAUGACAGUGCUGGGUUAAAUAUUCUCCUGGUGUUGGUUUUGCUGGUUGUAGGACAGAUUUUGGUAAUGGCAGUAAACGGUGGAGAUUUGGAAAUGAAUGUUUUCGAGUUCUAUUUAGUGCAGGUUGAUGAUGAUAUAGAGUUUGAAUGAAUUAGAAACGGUGGGUUGCUAUCUGAUUUGAAUUUGCAGGGAAUUGGAAAGCUUCAAAAGGUGUUUCCUCGUUUUCAUAUCACCGUCAAACUGUGCACAACAACCAUUUGAUAAAAAUCCUAAACCACAGGUCAAGUCUUGUAGCAGUCAUUCACGUCCCUUUUCUUUGCCGCUGCUCUAUCCAUGGGUUCUAGAGUUAUUUUAGGAGGCUCGACAAAUAUUUGAGAGGUUAAGAACAACACCGGUAGGUCGAUUUUGUAUUGAUUUGGGUUGGAUUUUGCUGAUUGUGGAUCAGUUCAGUGCAAGGAACAUCUUCUCUCAUAGUCAAGCUGGUGGUGUCACAAGGAUUAAGUGAGCUGGUGGUGUUGUUGAUUUUUGAGCUGGUGGGAGCGUAAGGAUGGGAUAGCGACGCUGGUUGUGUUAAAAAUUGAGCGGGUAGUGAUGGGCUAGUACUAUAUGGUAUUAUGUUGGAGAUGGUGACAUUGAUUUUACAUCCUGGUGACGGUGAAGCACUCGUAGCGAAGUUGAAAGAUUGUUGCUGCCUGCUAGUAUUGUGCAAUGGUGUAAUAGCUGGUUGGACUUGUGGAUAUCGAUUGAACUAGUGAAGGUGUAGCGGUGGUCUGUAUUGCUGAUGUUGAUGCGAUGAAUGGUGAUUGUUAUGGUCGUGAACGAGGUGUUGGGGUUCAAAUAAGAAGGUAAUGAGUUUGUGGGCUAUAUUGCCACGUGUUUGUAACGAUGAGAUGUACAGUGUCGACUUGUCAUGUCAUAUUCCAUGUGUAUAGAGUAAACUCUGUGACACAGACUUAAAUCAGCGAUUUAAAGGGCUAUUCUGUUAUUUUAGGU